GUCCAGGGGUGGGAAUCGAACCCACAAUUAUCCGCUUACCGGGCAAUGCCAUGUCCACUAGGCUACCCUGGA
rnacentral:tRNA from 1 species